rnacentral:rRNA from 1 species
GAUGAACGCUGGCGGCGUGCCUAACACAUGCAAGUCGAACGAAGCACUUAUGACGAUUCCUUCGGGAUGAAGCGUUUGUGACUUAGUGGCGGACGGGUGAGUAACGCGUGGGUAACCUGCCUUAUACAGGGGGAUAACAGUUAGAAAUGACUGCUAAUACCGCAUAAGCGCACAGUCUCGCAUGGGACAGUGUGAAAAACUAGGUGGUAUAAGAUGGACCCGCGUCUGAUUAGCUAGUUGGUGGGGUAAAGGCCUACCAAGGCGACGAUCAGUAGCCGACCUGAGAGGGUGAUCGGGCCACAUUGGGACUGAGACACGGGCCCAAACUCCUACGGGAGGCAGCAGUGGGGAAUAUUGCACAAUGGGGGAAACCCUGAUGCAGCAACGCCGCGUGAAGGAAGAAGUAUCUC